rnacentral:rRNA from 1 species
UAAACCUUUGUAUGUUUUUGAAUGUCUUUUUAUUGGCCGUAAGGCUAGUAAAUCUAUACNACUUUCAGCAACGGAUCUCUUGGCUCUCCCAUCGAUGAAGAACGCAGCGAAAUGCGAUAAGUAAUGUGAAUUGCAGAAUUCAGUGAAUCAUCGAAUCUUUGAACGCACCUUGCGCCCUUUGGUAUUCCGAAGGGCAUGCUUGUUUGAGUGUCAUUAAAUUCUCAAAAACCUUUGGUUUGUUCUGAAGGCUUUUGGAUGUGAGGGCUUGCUGGCUUUCGGGUCUGCUCCCUUUAAAUGCAUUAGUGGAUUCCUUUAGUGAACGGUCACUUGGUGUGAUAAUCUAUCUACGCCGCUUGACUUGAAGCAAGCCUUAUGGGAGUUCGCUCAUAACCGUCUUUCGAGACAACUCUUUGACCAUUUGACCUCAAAUCAAGUAGGACUACCCGCUGAACUUAAGCAUAUCAAUA